ACGAGGCUCGGGGGUCUCCCGUGCCCGUGAGCCGAGGUCGCUUCCCCACCGCUUGUCCUGGUGUAAGGAAACCCACCUUGGAUGUGUCAUGUCUAGCGACACCUUCCUUCCACCGUCCCUUCCUUGUGAAACCUGUCUGAUGUACAAAACUCCGCUUAGCAGCAGGAGGGGAAGGUAUUUUUGUCCUGAUGUCAGACUCAUGAGAUCUGGUCUCGUGUUUGAAAAUGAAGGUUCAGCCAGUGCAGCAACCAGACAGACUGGAUACUGAGGGCUUGGAGGAAAUGUCUUCAAAAGGUGCCUAUCUCUGUAUUGAUUUAGGAUGGAGCCUGGAUGACUAGCUCUGAUUGGGGAUGGCUACAGACUUUUGGAUGGCUACAGUUCAGAUGGGUUCCCUCAACUGACAGAAUGAAAUCUCUGAAAGUGAGUACGGGUAGGAGCACUGGGGUUUUUUGCAUGUAUUUAAAGAAAAUGAUGUCUCUUUGCUAAAUGAGUAAGUGGAUUGCUUUAUUAUAGAAUACAACUCUCCUUUCAAAAAUUGUAUUUUGCAUUUGCUGUAAUGCAGGAGGAACUGGCUCUGAGUAGGUAAGCAAUUUAAGAAGCUGAAUGACAGAAGUACUUCUGACUUGCUAGGCAGUUCAUGGGGUGGCUACAGUGCAGUGUUGUGUAACAGAUGAUACAAACAAAAAGCCUGCAUGUUUCAUGGGGAGUUUCACAGCAGGAGUCUGAACUCUUUAGUGAAUACAGUGUAAAGUAAGAGUGUAUAUGUAAAGGAAAGAUAUAUAUUAAUUUGUUACUGUGGCCUUAAAUAGCCUCUCAUUCCAGAAUCAAGCUGAAGUCCUAAGGCUGCAGCAAUAAAGUGUUUGUACUGAACAAUAGUCAUAUGCUGCCAUGCUUGAAUUCACAUAGAGCCAAGGCAUUUCAAAUCCCACCAAACCUGUUCAGAGAUAAAUAAACUACAAAUAAUAACCUAAAGGAAACACUUUGAUGUCUGUUUGGUAUACAGUAUUUAAGACACGUGAACAGGGGAAAGAUACUUUUUCAUCACUGCCUUAUAAUAUUCUAAAGUAAUGUAUGCUGGACUAGGUGACUCAUGAUCUGAAGUUUCUAUAGCCCAGCACUUGAUGCAUCAUUCUGAGAAGUGUAACAACUAAAGCAGGAGUGAAGCAUUAUGUGUGUCUAGCACAGUGCACUUCCUGGGAUUUGGGUGUCUGGUAUGUCAUGUGUUCCAGCCCUGCAUUUGGUGGAUUAGAGGUAAUUUCUUUAAACAAUAACAGAAAUUGUAUACUUAAUCCAAUACACAUGAUGCAAAAGCACGUACUUAGUGGAAAAUGCUGUGGUCUCAUUGGGCCUGUGUUGCUAUCCACUCUCAUAAAAUUAUUGCACUAAAAGAUAUUGGUUUAUAUUGUAGCUACAGAAGAUACAGUCCUGUAAGAUGACAUGCCAUCAUCUUUAUAGAUGGAAAAUCUUGUUCUGCUCCACUGUAAUUUUUAACAAUAAAAUUAUAACAAAAAUAACAAUCUAUAACAUUAACCAUAUGUACAGACGUGGAGAAAACAAAACCUUUAAUGUCCUGGGAGAUAUUCUCUCUACUUUUAGGCUUUAUAGCCAUUUGGGCUCUCAGAAUGUUUUUUUAUAAAAAUCCUCUUCCUUGAAAUUUUCAGUAUGUCCGUGAGUGCAAGUGUCUGAGAUGAGCCAGAUGAUGGGUUAUUAGUGGAAACAUUAAUUAGGGACAGUCAAUCCUUCACUCCUUACUCUUUUAUUUAAGUGCUACUGUGUUUUGGGUGUACCACUUGGUUAAUGUGAUGAUGGGCCACGUUUUGAGAUUGAGUCCAGCUUUUUAUUUGUUACUCUAAGACUGAAAUUGUUCUCACAUAUCUCUUCCAUGACUUAGUUAAGUACUUAAGUGUUUUUUACAGUUUCUAUAUGAAGAAAUUUCAAAUACUUUCAGCUAAAAGGCUAAUGCAAAAUUCUGUGAUACAUGGUUAGUAUCCCCCUCAUGCUGCAUAAGUUUUGGGUUGUUAGUCUUCAGCUUUUCUACUAAUGACAUAAUUCCUUUGUUUUAGAUGGCCAACUACUUAUUUAAUAUAAUAAUAAUAUUUAAUUGAAAACAAUCUGCUUUCUUUUGUUUACUGCUUUAUCAGAUGAAGGUUUGUUUUCAUAUUAGAGUUGUAUUACUUCAAUAUUCAAACCCAGUAAUUCCUAAUUUGAAAUGUGAAUCUCCUACUACAAUUUGUCCUUACAUGCCUUCCUUGAGGUAAAUAGAUCUAGUAAGAACAAACGUGAAGGGGGUAUCAUGUAAUGAAGCUCCUGCUUCCUGCUGUUGAACCUGGUAGUGGGUGAAUUUGAAGGACUGCAGCUUGGAAGUCCUCUGCUCAGUUCUGAAGUCUGGGAUAUACUGAAAGGUAUUUUCUAGUGAUUACUGACAAAGUGAUGUGCAAAGGAGGCUUAGAGAGGAAAACAUGCCUCUGAGCAGAAGAAUGUUCAUGUAGAAAAGAAGAAAAAAAUUAUAAAUGAAAUUAAAUAUGUAUUUUAAAAACUCUUAUCUGUUUAUACUUAGUAUUUAAGCAACUGCAUUAUUAAGACUACACUACUGGAAAUAACAUUCUUUACUUUUUUUGUGUAUGUACUCAUCACAGAUUUUACAGAUUAAAAUACACAGGGUAAAUCUCUGAAAAUACAGUAUGGAAUAUUAAAUCUGUUAGAUAAAAUAUCAUUGCUGAUAUGAAACAGGUUCUGAUUUAACACACAUCUCUAUGGAAAACAUUUCUGCACUCUUUAUCUCACAUAUAUAUCUAUAUAUAGAGAGAUACAUAUAUAGAUAUAGUGUGUGUGUCUAUAUAUAUAUGUAUAUAUAUAUACACCACCUUAAAUUACCAUUUUUUGGCUUUUUGAUUACCAAAAAUUGUCAGAGCAUGGCUGUCUUCUAUAGAGGUGUUUACAAUUUAUUGUGAAUCUGACUUUUUCAGUCACAAACACUAUUUUAGUAGUGCAUUUUAAUAGAAGAGCAUCUGCACUCAGGUAAUCUGACCAGCACAUGUAAUCUAACAUUUGCAAUGAUGAUUUUUGCAUGUUAUGAAAAUAAUGGGUUUGUGCCUUAUAGAUGCUUAAGGUUCAUGCCUUCUGUUUCUGUAAGUAUUCUUAUUCCACGUAAAGCAACAAUGUUCUAGUCCAAUGAGACAAGCUGAUUCUGUCUCCAAGUGCCCUGUUUUGUAAUCUUGCAGAAAUACAUUUCUGAUUUUUUUUUUUUUACUACUGUGAUCCUACAACAAGGUUUACUACAAUUCUUAGCUGCAUAAACAGAAGAAUGUCAACAGUAGAAGCAGAUGAAUUGUGUAGGGCAUUGAUGGAACCUUAUUGAAAAUGAUUCAGUGAAAAGCUCUAGAAAUAGUGACAGUAGAAAAUGUAUCACUGGUAUGUGUUUAGAAUCUAUUUUAGGUUGACUUAUUCAAAGAAGAUACCAAAAUAUGCAGCUGAACCUGAGAAUAUUUAGAAGGCUGGAAAGGAGUGUGUUCAUCACAGAGGAGUACACCCAAUAAUAACCUACUUGCUGGGGGAUGAUUAGAUGCUACUUUAAAGGUUUGUCUACUGCUUAUGUCUCAAGUUCAAAACCAGUAUUUCUAUUCUGUAAAUGGACAAGCUACAGCACAAGGUACUGGAAUAUUUUUUCUAUUUCUUCCAUUUCCUAUGGGAAACAUUUUUCUUCUUACCUUCUGCCUUUCUUCCUUCUACAAAGGUCAGAGUACAUGUUUAACAUAUUAGCCUUAAUUUAAAAAGAGGUGUGAUAGUUAGCAUUAAUAAGAAGACAUAAUUUGAAAGCAAAGUAAAAAUAAUGCUUGCAAGGUUCCUUUUCUAGCUGCAUUACUCCAAAAGAAUUACCUAAAUCAAAGUAUGCUGAACAGUAUUAUAUCUUGGUGUUUACUUAAACUAAGUCAGGUCCUUUCUUAAAAUCCGUAUGACUCAAAGUCUUAGCUUACUUAAAGAAAUGCAGAAUUCAAAUUUUAGCUAAUUAUUUUAAAGAAGUGUCUAGAGAUCCUAACUGAGACUAGAAGAAUUUUCUUUUCAAGUUGUAUGUGAUAUGUGGAAUACAACAUCAGCAGUAUAAGGAGAGAAUUUUAAUGUCAGGUUUAAAAGAAUUUUAAAAAGGCUGUUUCUCUGUAAAUCUGCAUUAAAUUAAAAGGUAUACCUGAAGCAUCAUGAGUAAGGAAUCAAUAGUGCUGAAAAAAAGCAUAGCUUAAGAUAUAUAUAUCUAAAUGUACAAAAUAAAAAAUAGAGUUAAUUAUGGAAGUGGAAAUGCUUUUGGUUAGACCUCCCCCAAAAGGGUAUCCUGCUCUGUAUUCUUGGUCCACUAUCAAAUGCCUGUUCAUAUUCUAGUCCACUUUAUUAAUCCCUCCUUUUUCCUCCCAUAAUACUCUGCUUCUUUGCAGUUUAGUUGUUGCCAUUUUGCUUGUUUACAUAGCAUUCCAUAUGAAAUACCUCACAACUCUUUUUACUUCAUACCUAAAGAAUUCCCCCUUAAUUGCCAGCAAUUCUUAGUAUCAAAAGCAUGCUAAACACAACAGGUUAAAACAAGAAAUGAAAACUACAACUAAACUACCGAAAAAAAAAUCUGUGUAGGCAGCAGUCACCACAGAUGGGAUUCAUUCAGUAUACAGCUCUUAGUUCUACCACCCACAUAAUCCCCAUUAUCAUUUCCUACCAAACACACUUCAUUAGCUCUGAAGAAAUCUCUAUUGUCUCUACUAGCAGAUCACUGAAGGUACUGUCAUGAUAUGGAUAUAAAAGUUAAAGGUCAUAUCAAUUAAAAACCAUCCCUUUACAAUCCUUUAGAAGGUCAUAAUAAUUAAGCAUAUUUUCAUUUGAUGACAACCAAUAAUAUGAUGAACCACUACCAAUUUUAUCCUUUAUAAGUAAAAGUAUUCUUCCUGCUAGUACUGAGCACUAGGAUAUCAUCAUCCAGUGGUUCUCCCUGUUCCCCAUUCGUUUGUUCAUUUGUCCCAAUUAAUUAAGUGAUAGUAUAAACUCAAGAAAGCGAUGUGCUGUCCCAGAGGAAGGAAGCAAGGCUCUGCCUUUGCUGGAGCACAAGCUGUCAUUCCUGAUUUCUAUACAGGGUGGAGUUCUGCAUUCUUGUUAUUGCUCCCACUGUUGAUGCUGAUGACAGUUCUUCCAGGAGAGACAGUGCUUUGAUCAUGUGCGUAGCUGCGGAUGAGGAGGAAACUUGCAUUGCCUUCUUAUGAGGGACACAAUGACUUAGGGAACUUGGCUGAGUAAAUGGGAGGAUAGAAAUUCUGAUUCUUCUGCCCUUUUUCUGAACACCACCCCCCCAAUUGUUGUGCUAUAAUGCAGUUAUAAAGCAGUUUUGCUGUAAAUAAGAUGGAUCUAAAUUAAAAUUGUAAAAAUCCCCAGCAAGUGCUUGUUUUGUUAUUUUAGAGGGGGAAAACCCCAUAAAAUUAUGCAAAAUAACCACAUCUGAUUCACAAAUAGCUGUAUCAGCAGAACUAGGAGGAGCUGGUGUAAGGGUGCAAACUCCACAAGCUGGUGUAGCUGCUACAGUGCUCAUAUUGUUAAAACCACAACCAAAGACAGAAUUUAAUUAAAACAUCUAAAUCAUCCAUUCUUGUGGUGGUCAGUUCAUUUUGAGUUAGGAGAGAGUAAUUGUUUCCAAGUACUUUGCCUGCAGCAGUGGAGUAGACUACACAAGGCUGUCUUAUUUAUGAGUUUUUAAUAAAUUACCUGAUCAGUCAUGUGGCUUUAUGUUCUUAAAAAUAUUAGCUGGUAAAUGUUGCUAAAGGUCAUGGAAUUAUAGUUUGAAGAGUUUGUUGUUCAAGCACUAUCUUGUCACUUCUUGUUCUUCCAUUUAAUGAAUUGUUAACUAACAUAUUUAAUGUCUUGGGAAAUCUCCAUCUUACUAUUCUUUCCUUCCCAGUAACUUCAGAGAUUUCUGUGAAUGAAACAAUAGAGGUUUCACACAUUGAUUUCCUCUGUUUCAGUUCAGCCAGCUGGUGGUGAUGUCACACACAACCACCUGUGUCUAACAAGCACCUGAUACUGUUCCUUCCUUAAGGACUGAAAGUUCAAGACACGUGUACAUACCAGCUCUGUAUCGGCAUUUGUACUAUAAACACUGGAUUGCUAUCAUGAUUCAGAUAAACAGGAGACUUGUUCAGCUGUUUUAGUUACUUUGGAUCAUUUCCUGCAGCUUUACUCAUCCUCCCAAUUAACAUGAAUACACAUUUGGGUUUUUUCCAAGUUGGCCAUUAAGAAGGUUAAGUAGGUUGGGCCUUGUGACUAAUGUUUCCUUGGCUCUGACUGUAUUUUGCUGCUCCCCAAGAGUAUUCUAUCAUUUUUUAUUAGCAUGCUGGAGAAACUCUGAGAUUCCUGAUUGUAGGACAGCACUUGAAAUAUUCUAGAAAUCCCCAAGCUCCAAAAUGAGAAAUCCCACUCAGCAGUAAGACCCAGCAUGGAGGGGCAAAUACAGAAGUACUUGUACUGUAAAAAGACAUCUUGCAUUAGCAUUGUCAUUAUUAAUCCAGUUUACUACUGCUGAGCUUUCAUGUUCUGUAUUGAUUAAAAAAAAAAGGUUACCAGUGCCACAACAAAACUUAGUCAAGAGGAUGCUGCACAAAUUGGAUGUGGUUCUUCAACCCCUAAAGAUGUUUGUUGUUCCACUAACAUGGUAAAGGUAGUAAACAGGUUUUGUCACUGCUGAUGCCUCAUGACAGGCAACAAAUCAAGAAUGCAGUUGCUUAACUAUUUUACUACAUAAAGUUUAAGUGUAAUCCUGUUUUAGAAAUGUCAGCAAUAUAAAGAGGCAGCAGCUUAAGGAAAGCAACAUAAUCCAUCCAUGUGCAGUAAGCAUAUCCCUCACCAGUGUUUAGUUGUGAAUCAUGAUGAAUAUUACAUCCAUGGAUUAAAGUCUUGAUCUUACAUAGUCAUUUGCAUAGCAAAUGGGUUUGUUCAGGGCCUGUGUAUUGACAUUUUAGACACUUACCUUGAACAAGAAAAUAUUUUUGUUUUAAGUUAACUUUAGAAAUCACCUUAGCUAAAUUACUUAAAAAGAAAGGCACAUAUUCUAAAACAAGAGUAUUCACCUCAAGGGUGGGUACUUCUUGAAAUGUUUGUCUACCUAGGGCUAUACUCCAGGUGCUAGUAUUGCAAUGAAAAUUGAUUACUCUUUCCACACCUCACUGCAAAUACGAAAUGGCUCUUACAAUGCCUUAGUUUGCUUUCCUCUAUAGUGUUUUACAUUACUUCAGCAGGAAGGAGAAGCAGGAAGUAUAGAGAUAGUACUACAGGUGUUACAUGUUAUGGGUGUGUUGAUUUCUGUUUUGGAGUCAAGCCAUUGACUGAAUUUCCUCCUUCUGUAUGCUACUCAAGUAAAAAAACAAAACAAACCAUCUAUUUAAACAUAAAAACCAGUCUUACUUCCCCUAUCUUUUGCAGUAUUUGUGUUAAGGAUCACAAAGUAGUGAAUAUUCUGUAGCCUUCAUAGAAUUCCUGACAGAGAAACACCAAUGAAAGAACCAGUUGCAUAUGGUAUUGCUUCAGUAGAAAUUAUCAUUUUUAUAACCCAGACACUGCUGCCCAUAUUUAUGUUCUUUCUCUACUAGAAAAUCAAGCAAGUUAGAUAAAAAGAAGUGUUAAGAGUUGAAGUUUACCUAGAAGUGCAGUUAAGUGUGCUGCAAGGGCAGGUCAGCAGCUCUUCUUGCCUUCCAGCCCAGGAGAUCAGAAGAACAUGCUGAUGGUACCUCAGUGCCAAUGGUCUGGCUAUGGUGAAGCAAAUCCUGCAGUGAUUAAUGUUUUUUUCCUGGUCUGUUUGCCUGAGCUCUGUAAUUGAAAAUUGCUAAAGCAGGUCAUUUGAAGUAUGUGUGGUAUCUUAGGAACUAUAACUUAGUGAUCAUAAAUUUGCAUUACAAAUGCUCUUACAGCUCCUUACUUGGCAUAAAUUUUCAAUCUGAACUGCUUAUUAAAUACACCACAACUCACCCAUCCUGUAAUUUCCAUUGGCCUAAUAUCUGUCCAUUUAAGUUCCAUUUUCUUCUAGUUUUUAUCCUCUAUUCCCUUCUUUUGGAUGCUUUUGAUUUUAUGUAAAGAAUGUAGGAGUGAGUUCUUCCGAUUUCUCACAUUUUUCUGUGGUGAGGAAACAGAAGAACCCAUAUAAAAAUUAUUAAAGAAAUCAGCUAAAACAAAGAAAAACUGGACAGUGGAAUAAAUGUCAAAAAUACAGAAAAGGACAGAUGUCACCUUUUCAAAUGCUAAACUGUCCUUCUUUAAAAAAAAGCUUUCAGAGAAAUAAAACUGGUGAUUUUACUGUACUCAGAAGGUACAGCUAUUAAGCGUAAAUAUAAAUUUUGAAGAAAUUAAAGACAACAGUGUUUGGAAUGUCUGCCAUCAGCAGGUAGGGUUAUCAAGUUCCUGAGUGUUCGAAUACAAAACAUUUAAGCUAUGGCCAGAUACUGCAGUCAGGAGAUUGAAAAGCAAAACUUUAAUCAAGCUGAAAGAUUUAAGAUGUUUCAGUGAAGUAGUUAAAAAGAUGUACGUAAGCAUUAAGUCAUUAAAAUGACUUAAGCCUCUUAAUCUUCUCAAAGGCAGAUUAGGCUAAAUUUAAACAAAACAUGACAUGAAGUCUAGUUUUGGUUUUACACACUAUGUAUCCUUGGCAUAGAAUUUAGUAUGCAUAGUUCUGAACACCGAUUUCCAUAAGAUAGCAUAUGUUCCUACAGUCUCCAAAAUACACUUGCUAUGGAGUUCUAACAGCUAUCUGCAAAAGCCACUAAUGACCCAUCCUAAUAGUACGACUUCUACACUUCCAGGAAAAAGGAAAACUCUUUGAAGCCAGUGAAAUGUUUGUGCUUAUACCAACUGCUGCUAGUGCGCGAUUUCAUUAUUCUCCUUAAAUGCUGACGUUUCUGUAAGCUCCGAUGGCAAAUGAACAUCCAUGUAAUGUCAAUUUUGUUUUACAAUAUGGACAUGUUAUUCCUUUGCAAAACUUGUGACUAAAGGAAAAGACUUUCAGAAUAAUUCCUUAGCUCUACUGAAUAUGGAGGAUGAAAAAAUAUAGUUGCAAAUAGCGCACUUUUAAUAAAUAUCUGUGGACAUUUUGCAUUAAGUUUUCACAACAAUGUAAGUUUUGCUUUUAAGUCUUGCAGAACUAAGAACUCUUUAAAAAAUGUAAGGUUUAAAAUAGAAUUUUUGGUACCCUUGAUUACAGCACACAAGUUGACAAAAAGCUGGGGAUUAAGUCCUCUUACUUGGCAUCCUUUUAAACGAUAUUUUUAAAGUAAAUAGCCAAAAAGCUAUUUUUAGGGGGGAUAGAAGGAAUAUAAUUCCAUUAGCAAGUUUAGUUAUAAAGAUUUUGUCC